rnacentral:rRNA from 1 species
GACGAACGCUGGCGGCGUGCUUAGCACAUGCAAGUCGAACGGUAAGGCCCUUCGGGGUACACGAGUGGCGAACGGGUGUGCAACACGUGGGUGAUCUGCCCUGCACUUCGGGAUAAGCCUGGGAAACUGGUCUAAUACCGGAUAGGACCACUGCCUGCAUGGGUGGUGGUGGAAAGCUUUUGCGGUGUGGGAUGGGCCCGCGGCCUAUCAGCUUGUUGGUGGGGUGAUGGCCUACCAAGGCGACGACGGGUAGCCGGCCUGAGAGGGUGACCGGCCACACUGGGACUGAGAUACGGCCCAGACGCCUACGGGAGGCAGCAGUGGGGAAUAUUGCACAAUGGGCGCAAGCCUGAUGCAGCGACGCCGCGUGAGGGAUGACGGCCUUCGGGUUGUAAACCUCUUUCAGCACCGACGAAGCGCAAGUGACGGUAGGUGCAGAAGAAGGACCGGCCAACUACGUGCCAGCCGCCGCCGUAA